AGUUUCUUUGAACUUCUGUGUUACUCACGUAUUGAAUUUUUAAAAUUAAGAAAUCCGUGAUUUUACGUGCAGGCAUGACUGAUAAAUGGAAUUAUUUUACUUUUAUAUAGAAUAUGGACGGCACUCAAGUACAGCAUGUGCAUGGUUGGACCUGUUGACAUUUUUAGAAACGCAUCUUGGUCUAUUAUACAGAGUAUUGUUGUACUGCUCCAAAGUGCUUGUUGACAGACUGAAACCACUUGCUUGCAGCUCAUAAGGUUUACUUCUUGAGAGCAGGCAGCUACAAAAUGGAAGGUCAACAAAUCCAGUAUACUUGAAAAGCAAGAAAGAAACACCAGAAAAUAUGAAAAGACAGAAAUACAAGGGAACUUGAAUAAAAAAAACUUUUAAGGAUAGGAAUUCAGGAUUUACUUGGAAACUAAAUUUAUUUUGAGAGCAGCAGUGAUUGACUAAGCUCUGUUACUUUAAGAGAUAAUGUAUUAUCACAUUGGUUUUGUUAUUGUCGAGCCCGCCUGCGGAAGCGAAGACAUAGUUGUCCAAAUGUCUGUUCGGUGUAUGUGCGUGCAUGCGUCCGUCCGGAUUUGUUUGUCCAGACCAUAACUUGGACAUGCAUGGAGCAAUCUUGUUUAUAUUUGGUAUGAAUGUUAACCUCAGUGAGACGGAGUGUCAUGCACAAACCCCAGGUUCCUAUCUCAAAGGCCAAGGUCACACUUACAGGUCAAAGGUCAAAUUCAAAAAUGACUUUGUCUGGAGCAUUUCUUCUUCAUGCAUGGAGGGAUUUUGAUGUAACUUGGCACAAUUGUUCACCAUCAUGAGAUUGAGUGUGAUGCGCAAGAACCAGGUCCCUAGGUCUAAGGUCAAGGUCACACUUAGAGGUCAAAGGAUACAAGAAUGACAACUUUGUCCGGAGUAUUUCUUCUUCAUGCAUGGAGGGAUUUUGAUGUAACUUGGCACAAAUGUUCACCACCAUGAGACGGAGUGUCAUGCGGAAGAACCAGUUCCCUAGGUCUAAGAUCAAGGCCACACUUAGAGGUCAAAAGUCAGAUACAAGAAUGACUUUGUCUGGAGCAUUUCUUUUUGGUGCAUAGAGGGAUUUUGAUGUAACUUGGCACAAUUGUUCAUCAUCAUGCGACUGAGGGUCAUGCAUAAGAUCCUAGAAUUACUUCCCUUUGUUGUUACUAUAAAUAGCUUACAUUUGUAACUUUAUUAUUACUGGUCAUAGGGAAAAAUCAAGACCACUUUUCUGUAGUACAACAUGCAUGUUACAUCCAAUUUUCAGGUGUAUUUUGACCUAUCUCUGGUGGUGCGGAUUUUUGUGUGGACUUAGAAUUUUUUUUAUUUAUUUAUUUUUUUUUUUUAAAUUUACUUUCCUUUGUUACUGUAAAUAAUUUAUAUUGUAACUUUUUGCAAUCUCUUUUAUUUGGCAUAAAUGUUUGCCUCAGUGAGACAAGGAGUGUCAUGUACAACUCCCAGUCCUUUUGACAGCUGGCGGGCUCGACAUAUUGCCCAUGGGCAUCUAGUUCUCAUAAAACAUACUAAAGUUUCAUUAAUCUUAUUUCAGAUAAUUGUUUUCUGGUUUAUUUUGUAAAGAAUGUCUACUACAUUGUAAUUAACUUAGUUACAGUAAAGUAAUAUUUUUCAUGAGAUUUUAAAGAGAAUGUUCUGUUAUACCCCCAUGUAGUAAGAUUGUCUGUCUUUCAGUUAGUAGGUUUUCAUGGCUUCCAGAUGAUAACUCAUGAAAAGCUUGACCGAUUUAAAUAUUUUUUGGUACAUAGUUACAGGUCAAGACGACUUUGGGGUCAGUAGGUCAAAGGUCAAGAUAACUUGCAAACGCUUUGGCCUGGGAUCUUAGCUUUUGCAACACAGGUGUAACAUGAUAAAAUACAGGUUGUUUGAAUUUGAGGUCAAUAGAUCAAAGGUCAAGGUCACAGUGACCUUGAACAGUUGAACCGUUUCCGAGUGAUAACUUGAGACCUUGAGCCUAGGAUGAUAAAGUUUGGUACACAGGUGUCACAUCAUGAAAUACAGGUAAAGUUUUACUUUGAGGUCAGUAGGUCAAGGUCACAAUAAGGCAAAACAGUGAAAUGUUUUUCAGAUUAUAACUUGAGAAUGCUUGAGCCUAGGAUCAUGAAAAUUGUUAGGGAGGUUGAUUAUGACCAGCAGGUGACCCCUAAUGAUGUUGAGGUCACAGGUCAAGGUCACACUGACCUUGUUCUUUAAAAUAAUGCACGGAGGGGCACCUGGGGUCUUCCUCCACCAUUAAAACUGGAAAGUCGCCAUAUGACUAUCUUGUGUCGGUGUGAUGUUAAAUUCAACAAAAUA